UGGGGAAUCUUGCGCAAUGGGCGAAAGCCUGACGCAGCAACGCCGCGUGCGGGAUGAAGGCCUUCGGGUUGUAAACCGCUUUCAGUGGGGACGAAACAAGACGGUACCCACAGAAGAAGCUCCGGCCAACUACGUGCCAGCAGCCGCGGUAACACGUAGGGAGCAAGCGUUGUCCGGAAUCAUUGGGCGUAAAGAGCUCGUAGGCGGCUCAGUAAGUCGGGUGUGAAACCCUCAGGCUCAACCUGGGGACGCCACUCGAUACUGCUGUGGCUAGAGUCCAGUAGGGGAGUGUGGAAUUCCCGGUGUAGCGGUGAAAUGCGCAGAUAUCGGGAGGAACACCAGCGGCGAAGGCGGCACUCUGGGCUGGUACUGACGCUGAGGAGCGAAAGCGUGGGUAGCAAACAGG
rnacentral:rRNA from 1 species